rnacentral:tRNA from 1 species
UUAGCUCAGUGGUUAGAGCGCUCGCCUCACACGCGAGAGGUCCGAGGUUCAAAUCCUCGA